rnacentral:rRNA from 1 species
UACGUAGGUGGCAAGCGUUGUCCGGAUUUAUUGGGCGUAAAGCGCGCGUAGGCGGCCAGAUAGGUCUGCUGUGAAAACUCGAGGCUCAACCUCGAGCUGUCGGCGGAAACCAUCUGGCUAGAGUCCGGAAGAGGAGAGUGGAAUUCCUGGUGUAGCGGUGAAAUGCGCAGAUAUCAGGAAGAACACCUAUGGCGAAGGCAGCUCUCUGGGACGGUACUGACGCUGAGACGCGAAAGCGUGGGGAGCGAACAGG